rnacentral:misc_RNA from 1 species
GUGAAUCAUCAAAUCUUUGAACGCAAAUUGCACUCCCUGGUAUUCCGGGGAGCAUGCCUGUUUGAGGGUCGUUAGACUACAAAAUCGAUGCGUCGCUCUUUUUUUAAGGGUGAUCGCGUCGGAAUUGAGCCGUCUUUCAAAUGUUAAUUCAUGUCAAAGUGGCUUGAAAUUCAUCCAUCCGGUACGCUUGAAGCGUAUUUACGAUCAAUUUUGAUUGAGAACGCGCGAUGACGUACCACUUCAUGUAGUACGUUUGACCUGGGUCAUCAUGAUAUUCCGUA